AUCACUGUGGACUAAUUGGGUAUCAGGUAAAGAAAAAGCUUAAACCAGUGACCCCACAAAGUGGCGAUCAUCAAUCUAUCACAUUGGGCCAAAGUUCCCCUGCUCUGGGUAGUAAAAACACAGUACUUGGAAAAUCUGGGCCAUCAAUUUCAAGCACCUUAAGGAAAUCUGUACAAGGAACGAUGAAGAGGAAAGAACAUGAUGAUAUUCUGCCGGUUGAAACUGUGAAAGGGGCCAAGGUGAUCAAUACUGGGAAAAGUCAGUCUGUACAGCUGGGGAAUCCUACUGGAAAUCAGCUGAAAGAUCAAGAGGCUAUAAAUCUGAUGCAAGAGAACAACAAGCUGCGAUCUAAAUGCUUGGAAUAUGCGAAGAGGGAGGAGGAACUAAAUCUUAAGGU